AGCUAGGUGGCCCAGUGGGUAGAGCACCAGGCCUGAAGUCAGGAGGACCUGAGUUCAAAUGCUUCCUAGCUG
rnacentral:tRNA from 1 species